rnacentral:rRNA from 1 species
AUUGAACGCUGGCGGCAUGCUUUACACAUGCAAGUCGAACGGUAACAGGGAGCUUGCUCCGCUGACGAGUGGCGAACGGGUGAGUAAUGCGUCGGAACGUGCCGAGUAGUGGGGGAUAACGCAGCGAAAGUUGUGCUAAUACCGCAUACGUACUGAGGUGGAAAGUGGGGGACCUUCGGGCCUCACGCUAUUCGAGCGGCCGACGUCUGAUUAGCUAGUUGGUGAGGUAAAGGCUCACCAAGGCGACGAUCAGUAGCGGGUCUGAGAGGAUGAUCAACCACACUGGGACUGAGACACGGCCCAGACUCCUACGGGAGGCAGCAGUGGGGAAUUUUGGACAAUGGGCGCAAGCCUGAUCCAGCAAUGCCGCGUGAGUGAAGAAGGCCCUCGGGUUGUAAAGCUCUUUUGUCAGGGAAGAAACGGUCUACUCUAAUACAGUGGGCUAAUGACGGUACCUGAAGAAUAAGCACCGGCUAACUACGUGCCAGCCGCCGCGGUAACAC